GCAAGUCGUGCGCGAAGUUUACUUCGAGCGGCGAACGGGUGAGUAACACGUAUCCAACCUACCCUUAAGACUGGGAUAACUUCUGGAAACGGAAGCUAAUACCGGAUAGGUAAUGGAGUCAUAUGACACUAUUAUUAAAGCAGCGUUUGCUGCACUGAAGGAUGGGGAUGCGCUGCAUUAGGUAGUUGGUGAGGUAACGGCUCACCAAGCCAACAAUGCAUAGCCGGCCUGAGAGGGUGAUC
rnacentral:rRNA from 1 species